AUCCUUUUGUAGUUCUUAAGUGUGAUGAUUGGGUUUUCACAGUCACGUGUGACAUGUGCCUCCCUCAAACCUUGUUCCCCCAUUUAAGGGGGUGAAA
ensembl:snoRNA